rnacentral:lncRNA from 13 species
UUUAAAAUGUGUAUAAAUUCUUUAACAAAAGUAAAACAUUUUUAAGACAUGAAAAACAUGUUAAAAAGGUAACUUUGUUAAAAGGCUGUCCUUUGUACAGGAAUGGGGUGAGACCUUAUCAGGCUUGCCUCCUCCUGCUCCUCUGAAUCAAUGUCCGUCCAGUCAGAUACGGUAUCUCUAUUUGAAAUUGACGGAUUUUGAUCGGGGGUUUUAAAAUUAUGUUACUUAGGUUGAUUUAGCGGUGUGUCAAUCGACUAAGGGGUUUGGGUGCGUACACUGAACUCGUAAAAUGGAUGCACUCAUAACAAAUGUACAAGAAAGACAUCCCAAAAAUGGAAGACACACCGAUAAAACAAAAUCUAUGUUUAUGUUUAGGUUCCACGUGCUUGACGUUUGACCGUUUCCCUUGUGCGUGAGAAAAGGGGGAGGUGAAGAACCGUUUGAGAAGACACACAUCCAGCGCUGAGCGCAAGCUAGAUAGGGCUCUCCUUCGCUCCUCUCACACACGACCAGCUUACGCCAUUCAUUCUGCCCUCCCUUGCUCCGGCACACGCUGCAUUCCUACCGUAGUUUUUGGAUAGCGAGCGGCGAUGUUUCUCUGCAGAGCGGCUUGGCAAAGAUAUGGGCCUUUGGCAAGGAAGGUAGCCCAACAGUUAUCUAGAGAUGUGUUGCCACGACGACAAAUGUCAUCAGUCCCCGGUGGUACUGGUGAUAACAUCGUCUACGCCCUGCUGUGUGGCGGGGCCUUCGCUGGAGCCAUCGCAUACACAUACAGCACUGUGACUACAGACCACGCCAGAUUCAAUGACCGUGUAGCGGAUAUCAACGCUCGUCCCAAAACUGUGUGGUCGCCCAAACCAUGGCCUCCCAAGAGCAGGGAUGAGGAAGAGGAGGUGUAAAACUAAAUUGGCUAUACGUCAGGGGACUUUAUAGCCUGCUGGACUCUUUGGAUGAAUCUGAAAAGGGGGAAAUCUCCUACUUUCCUCCUUCUCCUGUAUGACCGAACAAGUCCUGCUUACGUCCCAUACAUUCAACUUCUGUCUGUUUCUGAACGUUUUUCCUCUGGACACUUCGUUCUAUGUAUUGCCCCAAUUUUGUAUUUAUUUGAUGAACUGUUUUUGUGGCGUCUUCCAGGAUGGAAUCGUGUUGAUGGAUAAAUGUGUAAACAGACAGACUGGCUCAAUUUAAAAUUAAACGCACACAAAUCAUCUGGCUUUUCUGUUAAUGUUGGAAUUUCCAGGUAUUGGUUGCUUUGAUGGGAUGGUAAGAUUCACCAUCUUUAUCCCCUCACUCCUUAGUCCACCCUCUGACCUCUAACCCCUGAUCCUGUAUACCUCCCCUAUGUCACUUUCAUUUUGCUCCUCUCCUUUUGUUGUUUUUCUCCCUUUCUCCCCUCUUUUUCUCUCUUGUCUCGUUGGGCUUUGCAUGUGGUUCUGCAGUGAAUUCUCUUCUGUAGUGGAGUGAAUUCUCUUCUGUGGAGUGUGGUAUGAGCCGGAGGUGUGGUAAGAUGAGUGGCAUGGGCGUGUGUGAUGCGUUGUGUGAUUGUUUCAGUGUGUGGUUGUGUACACGGCAGCUAAAUGAUAAGUAAAGAAUGUAAAUAUGAUUUAAGAUAAAAACAUAAAGUACUACUUCUAUCGGAAUAUUCUGUUAUAUUAUAGGCUAGUGUUAUGUAGGCGUGAGUAGUGUAAUUCACAUGCCCUGCGAAUACUCUUAUAUACUCUUACUUAUUUCGUGUUGUAAAGCUUACUCAGGCAGUGUUUCAAAGGCCCAUGCCAUCUUUACUGAUUCAUAUAUUUUUCUGUCUCUCUCUCUCUCUUUUUAAAAUGUAUUUCAGGUGAGGAAGCAGCAGCCUGGGGAGGAGAGGAGGAAGCAGAGGAGGCGGCUGAGGAGGGAGGAGAGGAGGAGGCAGCAGCAGAGGAGGCUGGAGAGGAGGCUGCAGUUGAGGAGGCUGUUGCGGCGGAAAACGGAGCAGAACCCGCGGAAGAGGCCUCAGUCGAGGCAGAAGCAGCGGCCGAGGCAGUCUCUGAAGAACCUGCUGUGGAGGCAGCGGCAGUAGAGGCAGAGGUGGCACCAGUGGAAGCGGAGACUGUGGUGGAGGAGAUUGCAGAGGCUGUUGCUGAGGUCGCAGAAGAGGUCAUCGAGGUGGCAAAUGAAGUGGAGGCAGCAGCAGAGGAAGUGGCCGUGGAAGAGGCUGCUGAGGAGGCAGUUGCCGUGGAAGAGCCGGAGGAGGAGAUCAACGGUACGGGCCCAGAGGAAAAGGCAGUCCCAAAGGCUGCUGUUGCUGCUGAGUAACGCACACACACCACAGGGAGGCACACGCUGUCCUUCACCACCAGCCCGACCACUCACUCCGUUAGGCCAGCAACAACAGGGAGGUUAUGUGUACACUGUUCCUACACCAUAGAGUACCACUACAGCGUCUAACACUGAUCUCACCUGGUUCUAAAACCACUGUAGAGCUAGACUCCUCUGCCGUGAAGGUUAUUCUCUCGAAGAGAACACUUUAUUUACUAGUUUAUUAGAGUUUACUUAGAGGGCAGAGAGUAAAUAAUGGUAUGGCUGGUUUUGUAAGUGAAAGUGUUUAAAGCUAGAAGACAGAAGCUUCAAGGUUUUUGUGUGGGGUUUGAUUUUCUGUAUUUCAAAAUCUCCUGACUAUGUACAGUAUAUUUGUUGUGAGUCCAGCAGAUGGUAAAAGUGCUGAAACAGCUUUUACAAGUGAAUUCAGCCAGAACAGCAGAUCACCGCUGUGAGACCUUUUUAGAAAGUGGAAGUGAUGUCAUCCAUCUCAACCUCAUAUCACAGUAAGGAUGGAAAUACACAAUAGUGCAAAUCACUGUGCCCCCUCCCCCCAUUAGUGAAAUGUGACGAAAAACCUGCUUAUUUCCCCUUUCCCCCUCCAAACUACCUUUAUUCACCCCUUCCCUCUCUCCCUCUCAAACACUGUUUACAAAGCUCCACUGACCCCACGUAUCAAUGCCCUUUAACCUCUCCCCUGCCUUCCCUCAGAGGCCCGAUGCCGCAUGCAAACACAAACAGGGAAACACCUCAAAUGCGCCAUUUGAUUAUCUUAUUUUGUUUUGUAAUGUGUAAGACCAGUCCACGGCCAACCAACCACUAAUACUCAGGCUUUUUUUGCGGAGAUAUUACAUGGAUAACUGUACAUUUCUAAGCCUCUUAAUAAGCCAGAUAUCACAGAGUUGGUACAUGCCGAUGUAACUUUAACUUUGUUUAACUAAACCCGCUGUAGCCGCGUGAUGGCUUCUGCUCGCACAGACAACGCUGAAACCUGUGCGAGCUCUGUGGCUGUAACAAAACAAACGGUUGCCGUGUGUUUUCAUUCUUAACUGUAAAAGUGGAACUUGGAGGGAAUGACCUCGCAAGGUUCAAAUGUGAGGAAAUCAACCAUGUGUGGUCAUUCAGAUUUGCUCUUUUUUUUUAACCAGCUAACGUAGUGAGUCGUCGUGUAAGUGAUUCAGGGAAUUCAUCGAGCCAUACAAUAAAAUGACUGGAAAGAUCCCCUCCCGUGUUGAGUUUGUCUGGGUUUGGUUUGCUUGUGCUAAUACGCUAUGCUUGUAGGGUUUUCGGGUGUCCUGCAAGGUCUUUCCAAAGCAGCAAUGGUUUCCAUCACGAGGACAAAUGACAAGACAAUACACUUCCGAUCUAAUAUUAUGCGGGUUGUACCAUGAAGAACCUAGGGAUAAAUCCACCACACUGACACUAGAGUUCAUUCACCUCUGCACUGUUACCCCACGAGUCAACAAACAAUUUACUUUAGCCCAGGACACAUAUCAGAAAAGCUCCCUAGUUCAAGACAAAUGUUUGAAAUCAAACCAUUAUCCCAUUUGGUGUGUGUUCCUUUGUGAUAUUUGUCAGGAAGGCAUGUUAUUUUAUUUGAGGUGGCCUCUUUUUUUAAAAAUUUUAUGAAGGAUGGUGGACAACAUGCAAAAGUACUGUCUUUGCUGUAUGUUCUGAUGACUUAUUUUGGAAUGUCUUCUAUUCACAUUAGAAAUGACUUCUUCACACUUAAAAGGCAUGUUGUGUUGCAUACGUGCACCAUAUGGGGAAUGGUCAUGUACAGUUAACUGCUAUUCCACACACUGUUCCUUCAUUACUUCUACUGCUUCCUGUGCCCUCUUCCAUUCAAUGCUUCUCCUGUCACCGCACCUUUAUUUCGAUGCCAUCUACACCCAUGCCACUGCUACCCUGUAUGUUGAAGUUCUGCAACAGUAGGCUCCAUCCUAACUCUCUCGAAACCACCCAUUAUUUUGCGGUCACUCAAUGCUCUGGCGGGUACAUUCUUGCCAUAGCCUGACAGUCUGCAUUGGUCCAAUGCAUUUCUGCUUUGCAUCAUUCACCAACAUGUGCAACAAAUAGAGGUUUUAAUGACUGGUCCAGCUGAACUUUUAGAUAUGGGACUUUUGGGGAGCAAGUGAUGAAUGCAAUGGAGGUCAAUGCAUGGUUAAAGUACACUUUGAUCUGUACAAUGUUGAUGCAAACGCAACAAAAAUGCACAGGUGACCUAAAAGUUGUCUCAACACAUUCGGAUUGCCUUUCAAUCUGAAGAAGCACAAGCUAACACCUAUGUCUGUACAAAUCGUCGUUUUUUUCCUAACUAAUGUCCCGUUUUUACAUGGCAGGCUGCCUUGUCGGUCUUCUCCCCGUGACCUCUGUCUGGCUAAUGGCUACGUGUUGGUCUAUGUAUUCUCCCUAACCCACACAGUGGGCUGAGACCGUAAGGGUUUUGGUCAAACUGUACUAUUUAAACAAGAAUGCGUCUUUCACCAUCUCUUGGGAAUUGUGCACAGACUUCUACAAUGUUCACGUUGGCAUGUCUAACUCACUCUGUUUUCCUGGAUCUCCUUUCUUCUGUCACACUGGGUGCAUAUGUGCUAUGUUGAUUUGAGUUGGAGAUAAAUUGUGAGUCAGUCUUUUUGUAACAUGAGUGUGAGUGAUGUUUGGGGGCUGGGUUCUGUCUUGCAGUGGAACCAGUCAUUCUGGCAGCAGCCUCUGCUUUGGAGGUGACGACAGUCGCUGAAGUGGUCAAAGAAGUGGUUGUGCCUAUUGUAGAAGAAGUCGAGGAGGCCGCCCCAGUGGAGUCCCCAGCUGCAGUGGAGGAGGCCACAGCUGCAGUGGAGGAGGCCACAGCUGCAUUGGAGGAGGCCCCAGCUGCAGUGGAGGAGGCCCCAGCUGCAGUGGAGGAGGCCCCAGCUGCAGUGGAGGAGGCCCCAGCUGCAGUGGAGGAGGCCCCAGCUGCAGUGGAGGAGGCAACAGCUGCUCAACUUGAGGCUGCACCUGUAGAAGAGGCCCCGGCUGCAGUGGAGGCGGCCCCGGCUGCAGUGGAGGAGGCCCCGGCUGCAGUGGAGGAGGCCCCAGCUGCAGUGGAGGAGGCCCCAGCUGCAGUGGA